CCUACGGGUAGCAGCAGUGGGGAAUAUUGGACAAUGGGCGAAAGCCUGAUCCAGCCAUGCCGCGUGUGUGAAGAAGGCCUUCGGGUUGUAAAGCACUUUCAGUGGGGAAGAAAGCCUUGGGGCUAAUACCCUCGAGGAAGGACAUCACCCACAGAAGAAGCACCGGCUAACUCCGUGCCAGCAGCCGCGGUAAUACGGAGGGUGCGAGCGUUAAUCGGAAUUACUGGGCGUAAAGCGCGCGUAGGCGGUCUGAUAAGCCGGUUGUGAAAGCCCCGGGCUCAACCUGGGAACGGCAUCCGGAACUGUCAGGCUAGAGUGCAGGAGAGGAAGGUAGAAUUCCCGGUGUAGCGGUGAAAUGCGUAGAGAUCGGGAGGAAUACCAGUGGCGAAGGCGGCCUUCUGGACUGACACUGACGCUGAGGUGCGAAAGCGUGGGUAGCAAACAGGAUUAGAUACCCUGGUAGUC
rnacentral:rRNA from 1 species